UGCCGACAAAUUUGCUAGAGAUUUCAUCGCUUGUGGAACAAUAAGAAGUGCUUGUGGCAACUGCCUUGAGGGCUCUUCACAGCUGCUUUGUCAGUGGGCCUCAGUACACUGGAGAUAAAGCUGACCAACCACAGAUCAUUCCAAAGACCUUCAUCGCUAAGGGAACCAUUGUGGGCAACGGACACGAAAACUGGGCUCUCCUGAGGCUGCUUCCAUUGAUGGACCAUGGGAAGCUAUAAACUAAGAAUCAUCAUAAAUGAAGGGGACAUACGG